GGAACUAGAUUCUGUUCCGAAAUAUCACUUACUCGAACCGUCCUGACCGCGUAGCUCAGUUGGAAGAGCAUUGGGCUAGUAUUCCAAAGGUCGUAGGUUCGAAUCCCACCGUGGCCGGGCAUAUUUUUCAAGCUCGCCAGGUGUGGAUAUACACUCAGAGUAACACCACAAAUAUCAAGUUAGUUACAUUUCAUUUCUUCCACAGAUACCUUUGUUUGGGUAUUUCCAGUUUGAGUACGUCCGCACAUUCGAACGAUGUGUUUGCAUACUUUGCGCCAUUUGUUUCUUUGUUCUUGUUUAUAAACGCUUCAAUGAAAUCGACUGCAUGAACGUGUCUUGCUUUGCUUGCGAGAUCUCCUGUGAAUCUCC